UACGUAGGGUGCGAGCGUUAAUCGGAAUGAUUGGGCGUAAAGGGUGCGCAGGCGGUUUGCUAAGACGGAUGUGAAAGCCCCGGGCUCAACCUGGGAAUGGCAUACGUGACUGGCAAACUAGAAUAUGGCAGAGGGAGGUGGAAUUCCAUGUGUAGCAGUGAAAUGCGUAGAGAUAUGGAGGAACACCGAUGGCGAAGGCAGCCUCCUGGGCCAAUAUUGACGCUCAGGCACGAAAGCGUGGGGAGCAAACAGG
rnacentral:rRNA from 1 species